UACAUGCUCCUUGUUGGCCACAUCAAAGUGUCAACACAAAUGUUCAGGCUAAGAACACCUUUUAUUUUUCUGGCAUGUUCUUUGUACCACAAAAGUCACAUCUUACAGAGCCUACACUAGUGGUGUAGCCCCAUGUCUUGGAUCUUUGUCGCAGCAGCAUUCGUCCUUCAUCGGGUUUUUCUUGCUGAUGCAGUGGAAGCCAACACCAGUGUAGCCCCAUCCUCGACAAGCAAGCAAGCACCCAUAAGGUCUGCAAAUUGGGUACUGCCUGCAAUCUAUCUCUGCUCGUGGCGGUGGCAGUUUAUUUUCCUGGCAGCAAUUGAAGCCUACAUAUCCAACAUAAAAAACAUCCAACCAGACAGUAUCAGAGACUUCCUCCUGCAGCACUAGGAGCCUACAUAUCUAACACAUUAAUUUCAUUAAAUUUAUUGGAGCACUAACACUAACUAGUGUUUUGAUAUCAUAAAAAAAUGAAGUAUACAUAAAACUAUGUUUUACCUGAGAGGCUAGCAGCUCGGGAGGAGGGUGACGUAGCAAACAUGAUCCCAAGAACCAAGAACAAUGCAGCCCACAGGUACACAAUCCUUGUCGUAUAGAUCUUGAGUAGUGCCAUGAAGAAGAGAAUCUUGCUACUCUCCUCUUUCUGUGACAAGGAGAAGAUUUCUAAUGUUUG
rnacentral:lncRNA from 1 species